rnacentral:sRNA from 1 species
ACACGAGGAAGGAGGUGGUCUGAAGUUGAAGAACUACAGGACGCGUGAGGUGGCUGUCCGCUAGCCAACGAUGCUGAAGGGUUUCACCAACCGCCUCCGCGGCCGGCGAAUCCCAGCAGCCACCCGGCCCCCGAGUCUCCCGGCCAAGUCCGACCGGGAUCAGGACGUCAACGUCCGGCUCGGGGGUCGUUCUGC